UACGGAGGUGGCAAGCGUUGUUCGGAAUCACUGGGCGUAAAGGGCGCGUAGGCGGGGUCGGAAGUCGGGUGUGAAAGCCCCGGGCUCAACCCGGGAACGGCGCUCGAGACUCCGGCUCUUGAGUCCCGGAGAGGCGGGUGGAAUUCCUGGUGUAGCGGUGAAAUGUGUAGAGAUCAGGAGGAACACCGGUGGCGCAGGCGGCCCGCUGGACGGAGACUGACGCUGAGGCGCGAAAGCGUGGGGAGCAAACGGG
rnacentral:rRNA from 1 species